ACUAUAUUACGUGCGGAAAUUGUUAUCAUUUUUGAGCCGAAAAUGGUAACAGUUUCGGCACGUAAUACAAA
rnacentral:miRNA from 1 species